rnacentral:rRNA from 1 species
UACAGAGGUCUCAAGCGUUGUUCGGAAUCACUGGGCGUAAAGGGCUCGUAGGUGGCCAACUAAGUCAGACGUGAAAUCCCUCGGCUUAACCGGGGAACUGCGUCUGAUACUGGAUGGCUUGAGUGUGGGAGAGGGAUGCGGAAUUCCAGGUGUAGCGGUGAAAUGCGUAGAUAUCUGGAGGAACACCGGUGGCGAAGGCGGCAUCCUGGACCACGACUGACGCUGAGUGAGCGAAAGCCAGGGGAGCAAACGGG